AGCUUUGCACAGUGGCAGUAUCAUAGCCAAUGAGGUUUAUCUGAGGCAUGAUUAUUGCUAAUUGAACUUUCCCCAAUACCCCACCAUGACGACUGGAAAUAUAGUCAUUGCCAAUUGCAUUGGCAAUUACUGGCAGUCUCUAUGGGGA